CAGCGCAAGGGUGAGUAAUACAUGGCUAACAUACCCCAAACAUGAGAAUAACUAUUAGAAAUGAUAGCUAAUGCUCAAUAGUUUCUUAAGACCUCCUGGUCUAAAGAAUAAAGGUAGGGAUCCUUCGGGACCUUCCGGUUUGGGAGUGGGUCAUGGGCUAUCAGCUAGUUGGUGAGGUAAAGGCUCACCAAGGCUAAGACGGCUAGGCGAUCUGAGAGGAUGAUCGCCCACAUCGGGACUGAGACACUGCCCGGACUCCUACGGGAGGCUGCAGUCGAGAAUCUUCCGCAAUGGGCGCAAGCCUGACGGAGCGACGCCGCGUGAGGGACGAAGGCUUUAGGGUCAUAAACCUCUUUCGCUUGUUAAGAAAAGUGUAUGUUAAUAGCAUGCACCCUGACAAAGGCAAGUAAAGAAGCACCGGCUAAAUCCGUGCCAGCAGCCGCGGUAAUACGGAUGGUGCAAGCGUUACUCGGAAUCACUGGGCGUAAAGCGUUCGUAGGUGGUUUAUUAAGUUGGAUGUGUAAUGCCACGGCUUAACCGUGGAACUGCGUUCAAAACUGAUAAACUAGAGAGCAGUAGGGGACAAGGGAACUUCGGGUGGAGCGGUGAAAUGCGUAGAUAUCUGAAGGAACACCGAUGGCGAAAGCACUUGUCUGGGCUGAUUCUGACACUGAGGAACGAAAGCUAGGGUAGCGAACGGGAUUAGAUACCCCGGUAGUCCUAGCCGUAAACGAUGGAUACUAG
rnacentral:rRNA from 1 species